AUCCAGCUAACGAGUCGCAAAUAAGACGAAACACACGUAUUGCAU
rnacentral:hammerhead_ribozyme from 1 species